GAGUGGAUUUUAAUAAAUUCAUGAUUUUUCCAUUCGUAUCAGAAAAGUAGUUUAAAAGACAGUAAGAGAAACUAUUAAAGUCAAAAUUUAGAAAUUAAAUAUUUGGAAGUAAUGUGGUCUUAUGUUUUAAGUACCAAUUAAUUCAUUAAGUAUAAAUCUUAUUCUUGGCUUCGAUAACAAGGUAAUAAUACUUUGAGAAUUCAACUUGUUUUCCUGUAAAAUAAGAUUUUUAUAGUAAAUUCUUAGUUAUUUCAGUCUACUUUUGAAAAAUCUUAGAGAAUAUUCUAACUUUUAAUGUUUGAGAUUUGUUAAUGUUUACAAUUAUGGGGGGCUGUUUCUUUAAUCAGAUAAAACAAAGUUGGUGGUGCUGUGUUCAUACAUCAAUUCAGUCCAAAGCAUGUGACUCCGAGGAAGUUACUUAACUUCUCUAGAUCUAGAUUUCCUCAUCUGUAGAAUGAGGUGAUUGAACUAAACAGCUUCUAAAUUGGCUUUCAUAAUCUUAAUCUAAACUGACUUGGUAAACGUGCAAAUUUCUACUACUUUCCAGCUGUGAAGAUGACACAAGAGAUAUUGAUGAAAGGAUAUUGGAUUAGUUUUGGUGUCCCCCGCCAGAAAAGUGCUAGAAGGAAAAGCUAGGGGUUUUGGGGACUGUACAAUUGACUUCAUUUUAAACAGGUUAUGUAGGUAAUGUCAUUAGACUGAGAGGAAUAGUGUGUUGAAAAGACAAUAUAAGAGGACAAAUACUUUGAGAACUAGAGGUUUAAAAUAUGCCAAAUAAAGUUGAUUAUAUAUUGAAAUAAGCCUAAUUUUAAAAUACCAAUUACAUGUGAUGCUUUUAUUCUGGAAACACAGUAACUACAGAUAAUAAGACAGAUUGUUACUUUUGGCAGGGUGUUACAGUUUCUUAGUUGUUUGUGUUGUCUGUUGCAAUGACAGAAUAAAAAGUUUGUAAAUAAACCUACAUAAAUGGAAAAUUUGGAUGAGGUGGCUUUAAAAUCAGAAUGAACUUUGAUGAGGGGAAAAAAGUUUGAGGGAGAGGAUUUCUUGAUCUCUUCAAAAAAUACAGUGAUAAUGGCUUUCAUUGGGAGACAAUAGAGAAUAUUUUAGGAGGAGAAAGUGUUUUGAUUUUGUUUUAAGAUAGGAUGUUUAUGUAUCUACUGAGGUUUGAAAACAGUGUGUUUACUAUGCAGCCCUCUUAGAUGAAAGAACCUAAGAUAGAAGCCAGGCUUGAUGUGGUGAGGUUUGAUCUCGGGAUGUGGUAGCAGCACAUAGAGCUCUCAGCCACUUGUUUGUAUGCUGUGUUGGAGUUGCUCUGACAUACUUGUGACCAUGAGAAAUGCAUUUUACAUUAUAGGACCCUAUUCAUACAUGUGUCUACGGAACCUUUUUAAGCUUUGUGAAACAAUAUUAGGCACUGUGCGGGGUGCACUUAGUUUACUUUGGAGAAUUUAUUUAUAUCUUUGGAAGGGGAGCGAAUACUCUUAGCUUAAUAACAUAUUUAUGUGUAUUUUUUUUUUUUUUUUUUUUUGACAGGCAGAGUGGACAGUGAGAGAGAGAGACAGAGAGAAAGGUCUUCCUUUGCCGUUGGUUCACCCUCCAAUGGCCGCCGCGGCCGGCGCGCUGCGGCCGGCGCACCGCGCUGAUCCGAUGGCAGGAGCCAGGAGCCAGGUGCUUUUCCUGGUCUCCCAUGGGGUGCAGGGCCCAAGCACCUGGGCCAUCCUCCACUGCACUCCCUGGCCACAGCAGAGGGCUGGCCUGGAAGAGGGGCAACCGGGACAGAAUCCGGCGCCCCGACCGGGACUAGAACCCGGUGUGCCGGCGCCGCUAGGCGGAGGAUUAGCCUAGUGAGCCGCGGCGCCGGCCUAUGUGUAUUUUCUUAAGUUUUAAAUUUUUCUCUUUAGAGCAAAUCUUUACUAGUUUUAUGCAGCUGCUAUAAGUAAUUUAUAAAUAUUAACCAAAAGAGGUGAAUACUAAUAACCCUGUUUUACAAUGAGGAAAUUGAGACACAGAGGUCAGAUGACUUACCCCAAAUAACACAGCUUCCAAAUAGUGGAGCCACAACUUGAACCUAAGGAGUUUGAUUCUCACUAAUGGUGUUUUAUACAUUUGUAAUAGUAUGUGACAAUCUUAGGUAUGAUAGUCAGUGUCAAAAUGUUUCAAACUAUUGGCCAGAUUGAGAGUUCUUCAAUUUAUUACUAUGAUCUUAGUAAACUUAACUGUUUCACAUAGAAGUAAAUUCUGUAGUGUCAUUCUUAUUUGCAUCUUAUCAAACCUAUGGCUCUACCUCCAUAUUUGCUUGUAAUUUGCUUUUAAUAUAAAAAUAGUAACUUGCCAUUUAUAAACUAUACCACAUAACACAAAGAUUAAAUAAUGAAAAUUUCUCAUUACCCUUACUCUUUUAUCCUGUUCUCCUCCCUAAAAGGAAGUAGUACUGUUUGGUAUGUAAAUUUUUGGAGUCUAAGCAAAUGAACAUAAAUAAAUUGUUUUUAAGAUACAAAUGAAAUUAUGCUAAACCUUUUUUGUGAUUUGUUUUCAUAUAAUAUAAAUAUUUGUGUAUGUAUGUUGGCUCUAUAUCAUUUCUUUUCCUACACAAUGAAUGGCCAGUCACCAUUAUUUCACCAGUCUCUGAUUGUGGCUAUUACCAGUAUUUGGUAUUUCAUGACCAUGCAGUGAACAUCAUUGUUUGGGGAGGCAGAGGCAGUAGGCUUCUGUAGUGGCAGAAGUGAUACUGAAGUCAGAAUCCCUGAGUUAGGUCCCAAGUCUACUGCUUACUCUAUCACCUUGGGCAAGCUGCUUAACCUCACCAUACUUUGCUUUUCUCAUAUAUAAAAUGUAGAUGAGAAUUAUAGAUGUAAUUUGUAGUAUUGUUAUAAAGAUUAAAUGAGUUUAUAAAUGUCUUAGAACUAUGCCUAUCACAUAACAAAUAUUUACUGAGCACUGUCAUUUUGCCAUCAUAUCUCUGUGUAUAUGAAAUAGUGUAUAUACAUUUGUGUGAUUAUAUCUGUGGUAUUAUUAAAAUGGAAUUAUUAACUUUGUUGACAUGUAAACAUAAAACAUUAUUUGUUUACCUAAUUUAUUUAUUUAAAAGGUGAAGAGACAGAAAAUUGACAGAGAUCUCCCACUUUUUUGUUUUCCAAAUGCCCACAGUAGUACAGGCGGGGCCAGGCUGAAAUCAGGAGUGGUUCUCCCACAUGGGUGCCAGGGACCCGGCUGUUUGAAUCAACAGGUGCUGGGUUAACUAGAAGUUGGAAUAGAAAGCUGAAUAGACUUGAAUCAGUCACUCAGAUAGGGAUUGUGAGUAUCCCUAAGCUGCAUCUUAACUGUUAUGCCAAAUGCUGGCUUUUUCAUUGCUUGACUACUAAAUAGUGAGGUAGUUUGUUUGUAAAUUUUUAUUUAUUGUUCAUUUGAGUUUUCUGUGAAUUACAUAUUAAUAUCCUUUGCCCAGUUAGGGAGUUCUUUGUAUGUUAUAUUUGAUAUUACAUUAGAAUCAUUGCCUUCUAACUAUUCUACAAUUAGUGAUUAAUUCUCCUCUUGGAACACAUGAUGGCAAAUAUUUUCUCUCAAUUGGAUACUGUCUUUUAGCAAUAUAUUCUGUGCCUUAUAGAAAUUUCAUAUUUUCAAUAAAAUUUAUUAACAUUAUAAAUUUACAUUAUUAAUUUUGGAUACUUUUCUUCUGCUUAAGAAAGGUUUCCUCACUUUUUAAAUUAUUAAAUAUUCUCCAUAUUUCCUUCUGUGCUUCAUAUGUUUACCUUUUCAGUCCAUCUGAAGUUUAUUUCUGUAUGUUGUGAGAUAUCUUGAUCUGAUGUCUCCCUCAUCCCCACAAAGGGUGGUCUUCAAUAUUUAUUGAAUGGUUUAUGUUUUCCACAUGAAAAUUGUCACUGUUGUUGUAUACUAACUAGUAUAUUUUGUCUCAUUGAACUGUCUUUAUACUCUGCCAACAUCACAUUGUCUUCAUUAAUAUCACAUCAUAGAUUUGGUAUAGGGUUUUGAAUGAAUUUUAUUUAUUUUUAAAUUAAAUAUACUUUUUAAAAAAGAUUUUAUUUGAAAAACAGAGUGGUAGAGGGAGGGACAGAGAUCUUUUAUCUGCUAGUUCACUCCUCAAAUGGCUUAAUAGCUGGGACUGGGCCAAGCCAAAGCCAAGAGCCAGGAACUCCAGCCCAGUCUCCCACAUCGGUGGCAGGCACUCAAGUACUUGAGCCAUCAUCUGCUGUUUCCCAGCCACAUUAGCAGGAAGCUACAUUGGAAGUAGUCAGUAUCCCAUACUGGUGAACCAUACUUAACCUUUCCACACCACUGUACUUCCAAAACCAGAAACAACUGUUCAUGGAGUCAUUUUUCUGACAGUACUGAGGAACUGCCUUAUGGUACAUGUUUAGUGAAAGCAACCGCAAUUAAUUUUUUUUUUAUUUGACAGACAGUGAGAGAGAGAGAGAGAGAAUAAAUAAAUAAAUCUUAAAAAAAAAAUGAGAGUGUAUGUUGUGAAAGAGAAAAUUUACAUAAAAGUACAGGUCACAUAGACCUCUUUUUCUUCUUUUUUUAAAAAAGAUUUAUUUAUUCAAAAGGCAGAGUUACAGAGAAAGAGGGAGAGACAGACAGAUCUUUCAUCUACUCUUCCUUCCGUUGGUUCAUCCCCCAAAUGGCCGCCACGGCCGGCGCUGCGCCGAUCUGAAGCCAGGAGCCAGGAGUAAAUUUUUAAAAUUUGUUUUAAAAUUGCGAGUAGAUAAAUUAUUAAAUGAUAAUGUUCACAUUUAUUAAAUCUGAUUGGUACACACAUGAGUACUUACAUUUUUCUCUACUCUGUUUUACAUUAGAAUUGUUUUUCAAAAAAAAAUCCAAGAGAAUUAACAGUUGCGUUGUUUUCCUAUAUUUUAGAAGACCUCUUCAAGCUACAGAGGGCAGUUUAAUUUUUUUUUUAAUGUAUUAAAUGUUUGAGAGGCAGAAAGAGACAAACCCACUGGUUUACCCACUGGUUUACUCCCCACAUCCCUGCAAUGUCUAGGGCUGAGCCAGGACAGAGCAGGAGACUGGGAGCUGAACUGAAGGCUUCCACAUGGGGCUAGGAGGCAGAGACUUAACUACUUGAACCAUCACUUGCUUACUGCCAGGGUGUGCAUUACUGGUGCAUUGGUACCAUCAGUGGAGCCAAGAUUGAAACCCAAGUGUUUUGAUAUGGUACACCAGUAUCUCCAUGAGCUUCCUAAUUCCUAUGCCAUGCACCCACUCCCACAGGGAAUUUUGAUGCAGUUGCAUUUUUUUUUUCUUUUUUUGGACAGGGAAAGUUAGACAGUGAAAGAGAGACAUAGAAAGGUUUUCCUGCUGUUACUCCAGGCUCCUGGUUUCAGAUCAGCCCAGCUCUGGCAUUUGUGGCCGUUUGGGGGGUGAACUAGUGGAUGGAAGACGCCCCCCAACCCCGCCUCUCUGUAACUCUGCCUUUCCAAUAAAUAAAUAAAUCUUAAAAAAAAAAAAAAAAAAAAGGAAAAUGAGAGUGUAUGUUGUGAAAGAGAAAAUGUACAUAAAAGUACAGGUCACACAGACCUCCCCUUUUUCUUCUUUUUUUAAAAAAAGAUUUAUUUAUUCAAAAGGCAGAGUUACAGAGAAAGAGGGAGAGACAGACAGAUCUUUCAUCUACUGAUUUAUUCCUUAAAUAACCACAAUGGCCAGGACUGGGCCAAGCCCAAGCCAGGAGCUCCAUCAAAGUCUUGGGCCAUCUUCUGCUUCUUUCCCAGGCACAUUAGCGGAAGCUGCUUCGGAAGUAGAGCAGCUGGGACUCAAAUUGGAGCUCAUAAGGGAUGUUGAUGUGGCAUAGUGUCAUAAUCCACUGCACUACAGUGCUGGACCCAAAUCUCCCAUUUUUCAUCUGGAAUAGCAAGAAUCUGUUAGGUUAGAGUAAGUAUACUUCAUGAGACAGGAUAGAAGAAAUUGAUAGUGUUCUGUGUGCCAUGAGUGAUGUGGAAGGAUGUUACUAACCUAAACUUUGACACAAUGGGUCAUCUUUUUUUUUUUUUUUCCUCUCCUCAUAAAAGGACAGGUUCUACCUGUUUUAGUUGCUUUCUUUUUCGAAUCUUGGCAGAUAAGACUUAUCAAAUUCAUCAAAAGCUUGGGGGCAGGUGUUUGGCCUAGUGGUUAGGAUCCAGCUUCCCGCUAGUGCACACUGGGAGACAGCAGAAGAUGACUUAAGUGGUUGGGUCCCCACCACCCGUGUGGGCAACGUAGAUUGAGCACCCAGCGUCAUCUCAACCCAACUCCAGCCAUUGAAGUCAUUGGAGGAGUCAAACAGUGGAUAGAUUUCUCUCUGCCUAUCCUUCCCUCUCUCUGCUUCUUCAAAUGAAAAUAAAUAAAUAUUUUUAAAGCCUGACUAUUUGCAAAAUUAAUAUACAGUGGUUGUUUCUUUUCUGUACAUUUGGGAAAGUCUUCACCAAAAGAUUUAUACCAUAGAGUCUUUCACUGACAAGCUUCAUUGCCUUUCAGGAGAGUGUGACUUUGCAUAAGGCUUGGGGCUUCCUGCAAGUCAAGUGAAGAGACUACUCUGGUCCAGCAUUUGGCCUGGCUCAUUUCCCUGCCAACUAUUGGCAUCUAGGAGGCUGAUGGUCAUUAUGAAAGAGGAGUCAAUGAGAGGAGUAGGAACUUAAUAACUUUUUUAAAAUAAAAUCUAAAAUCUUUUUUAACUGUCUCCCAGCCAUCACAGAGUCCCUAUAAAAACAUCCUAAUAAUGAAGAUAUAGAUGGGAUCCAGGAUCAUUCAGUGGUGAAUUUUAGUAGAUUGUUUCCACUGAGCAUUUUGUCCUGUGCACUGUGCUAUAUACUUUUCAAAGAAUAUCCUGUUUAAUUUUUACAGCAAUCUUUUGAGAUAGGUACUCUAAUUUUCACUUUAAAGAAGAGUUAAGUGAGGCUCUGGGAAGGGAAGCGAUUUUUCUGAAAUUACAUAGCUAAGUGAUGAAGCUGGCAGUUGUAAUAUAGCCUAUGCCUUCAACUAUGAAUAACGCUAGCCAUGUGUAAUAGCUAUUUUUAAAUGAUGAAAAAAGCUUUAAAUGUGGAAAAAUUACUACUUUUGCAUUUAUGAUGUUAACAAAACAGUGUUAUUCAUUCUAAUUAAUUUAAUAUAAUUAUAUGUAGACUACUCUUAUUAUGUAUAUAUCUUUUUUAUAUUUUUUUUUGACAGGCAGAGUUAGACAGUGAGAGAGAGAGACAGAGAGACAGGUCUUCCUUUUUCCAUUGGUUCAUCCCCCAAGUGGCUGCUACAGCCGGCGUGCUGUGCCGAUCUGAAGCCAGGAGCCAGGUGCUUCCUCCUGGUCUCCCAUGUGGGUGCAGGGCCCAAGGAUCUGGGACAUCCUCCACUGCCCUUCUGGACCACAGCAGAGAGCUGGACCACAGCAGAGAGCUGGACUGGAAGAGGAGCAACCGGGACAGAAUCCAGCACCCUAACCAGGACGAGAACCCAGGGUGCUAGCGCCGCAGGUGGAGGAUUAGCCUAGUGAGCUGUGGCGCCAGCCUAUGUGUAUAUCCUUUUUUUUUUGCAGGCAGAGUGGACAGUGAGAGAGAGAGAGAGAGAGAGACAGAGAGAAAGGUCUUCCUUUUUUUUUUUUUUUUUGCCAUUGGUUCACACUCCAAUGGCCGGUGCGCUGUGGCCGGUGCAUCACGCUGAUCCGAAGCCAGGAGCCUCGUGCUUCUCCUGGUCUCCCAUGGGGUGCAGGGCCCAAGCACUUGGGCCAUCCUCCACUGCACUCCCGGGCUAUAGCAGAGAGCUGGCCUGGAAGAGGGGCAGCCGGGACAGAAUCUGGCACCCCGACUGGGACUAGAACCCGGUGUGCCGGUGCUGUAAGGCGGAGGAUUAGCCUAUUGAGCCGCGGCGCUGGCCCUAUGUAUAUAUCUUUUUAAAAAAGCUUUAUUGUGACAUAAUUCACAGACUAUAUAACUCACCUGUUUAAAGUACACAGUUCAGUGGUUCUAAGUCUGUACACAAAGAUUGUGUCUAUUAUCAUCUAUUUGAGAAUGUUUUGCCUCUUUUUAUUCUGUUCUAUGUACAUAUAAGAUUCUUAUUAAAAUCCUUCAUUUGAAGCAAAAAUUGACCUUUAAUUUGUGUAAAUAAGGUAAACAUUUAAGCCUGGUUGAAAUUUACUACACCCUAUUUCUGUAACUGACUUGUCAUAUAGAACCUCACACACACAUAUAAGCCAUCCAUACUGAACUUUUCAAGUGAGCACUCCCAUAAGAAAAAGACUAAAGAAGGGCAGUUGUCUUGAAAGAGCUAUGCUGGGAUUAGACUUUGUUUAAACAGCUCCUCAGGGAUUUUCAAUGGAAUUUCAAAUGUUAUCUUGGGGAAGUCUGAGGGAAAGACCAUUUAAUUAGACUUGCAUUUUGAUGGCACUGAUCAACAAGGAAGCCAGGUUUCUUCAGAAAUACUCACGUCUGCUAGAGCCGACAGAAGUACAACAAAUUUGUAUCUAUAUGUAUAUUUUUAAAGCCAAGCUUUAAGAUGAAACUUUGAGUGUGACUGCAGUUUAUUUGCAGGAUCGUGAAUUUGUUGUCUAUGGUGGUGGUUAAGCUGACGACCCUGGAGUCACAAUGCCUGGAUUCAGAUCUUGGUUCUGCCUCCUCUCGGCUGGUUGUCUAGAAAUGUCAACAAACUAGCAUAGUGUUGUUGUGGCAAUUAAGUGGUGUAAGCCAUAUGAAGUACAUACAUAAAGUAUGUAUAAAGUGGCAACUUUAAUCAUCAUCAUUACCGCAUUAUCAGUACCAUUUUAUUUUAUAGUUUAUUACUUUGAAAAACUCAAAGAUAGACUAAAGAACACUUUUUACCUAGCACUGUAGUGUAGUCAGUUUCUUUUUAGUUGGAAGCACUUUGUUAAUUACCAGAGACUUCAAUUAUUUUCCUCCUGUAUUAAGCCAUAUAACAUAAUACUUACCUGUUUAGUGAUAUUUAUAGCGUGUAUAAUAUAAUCCUUAAAAGCUAGAAUAUUGAGGAAAGAAAGUCACUGGGAGUUGAGGAGGCUAAUAGAGACAUGUGUCUACAUUCUCUGCCCUACUGUUGCUCUGGAUGUUAACUUUUCUGCCAAGAAAACAUUUUGUGAUUGACUUACUGAGUACUGUGUAAAGCUAAUACUGCUUAACAUUUUGUAUAGCCCUUUGUAGGUUACAGAGUUUUCUCUGCAUACACAUUGUUUCCCACAAGCUACCCUGUGAUAGAGAUAGUAUUCUAUCAAUUUUCUGUAGUAUAAUGUUUUUUUUUUUUUUUUAAGAUUUAUUUUACUUGAAAGAGUUAUACAGAGAGAGAGAGGCAGAGAGAGAGGGGAAGGUCUUCCAUCCGCUGGUUCACUCCCUAAGUGGCCACAAUGGCUGGAGGUGGCCUGACCCAAAGUCAGGAGCCAGGAGCUUCUUCCAGGUCUCCCACGCGGGUGCAGGGGCUCAAGAGCUUGGUCCUUCUUCUACUGCUUUCCUAGGCCAUAGCAGAGAGUUGGAUAGGAAGUGGAGCAGCUGGGACUCGAACCAGCGCCCAUAUAGGAUGCCAGCUCUGCAGGUGGCGGCUUUACCUGCUACACCACAGCGUCGGCCCCUAAUGUUAUCUUUUUUAAAAAAAGUAAUUUAAUCCUUGCAGCAGUUCUUUUUUUUUUUUUUUUUUUUAAGAUUUGUUUUAGGCCGGCGCCACGGCUCGCUAGGCUAAUUCUCUGCCUUGCGGUGCCGGCACACCGGGUUCUAGUCCCAGUCGGGGCGCCGGAUUCUGUCCCGGUUGCCCCUCUUCCAGGCCAGCUCUCUGCUAUGGCCCGAGAGUGCAGUGGAGGAUGGCCCAAGUGCUUGGGUCCUGCACCCCAUGGGAGACCAGGAGAAGCACCUGGCUCCUGCCAUGGGAUCAGUGCGCUGCGCCUGCUGCAGCGCACCAUCUGUGGCGGCCAUUGGAGGGUGAACCAACGGCAAAGGAAGACCUUUCUCUCUGUCUCUCUCUCUCACUGUCCACUCUGUCCAAAAAAAAAAAAAAAAGAUUUGUUUUAUUUAUUUGAAAGAUAGAGUUAUAGAGAAGUAGAGACAGAGAGAGAGAGAAGUCUUCCAUCCACUGGUUCACUCAGAAGCCAAGACCAGGAGCUUCAUCCGGGUCUCCAACAUAGGUGCAGGAGCCCAACCACUUGGGCCAUCUUCCACUGGUUUCCCAGGCUGUUACAGGUAACUGAAUCAGAAGUGAAGCAGCUGGGACUUGAACUGGCUCCCAUAUGGGAUGCUGGCACUGUAGGCUGAAGCUUUAACCCAAUGUACCACAGAACCGCCCCCAGCAUAAUGUUAUCUUGAGUGGCCUAUAUUAGAACCUUUCACUUUUGAUAGACUUGGAGGCGGGGUUACCAAGGCACCCAGAGUAAUCACUCUCCAAAAUAACAGAUUAGUGUCUGGAUUCCAGUUCUAAUUUACUAGCACUUUUUUUUUUUUAAGGAUCCAAAUUUGAUAUUUUAAGCAUGAUUUUUCUUGUUGUUUUCUUCCUUUCUAUUUGAAUGGAGCAGGGGGAGAGAAAGAUCUCUCAUCUGCUGGUUCACCCUCCAGAUGCCUACAACAGCUAGGGCUGAGUAAGGCCAAAGCCAGGAUCUUAGGACCCAACUACUUUAGGCAUCGUUGGCUGAACCUUAGCAAGUUGUUUUUUUUAUCAUCUAUUUAUUUAUUUGCGAGGCAAAAUUACAGAGAGAAGUCUUCUAUCCGCUGGUUCACUCCCCAAAUGGACGCAACAGCUGGAGCUGAGCCAAUCCGAAGCCAGGAGCUUCUUCUGGGUCUCCUAAGUGGGUACAGGGGUCCAUGGACUUUGGGCCAUCUCCUGCUGCUUUCCCAGGCUAUUAGCAGGGAUACUGGAUGAGAAGUCGAACAGCUGGGACUUAAGCUGGCGUCCAUAUGGGAUGUCGGGCUGCAGGUGGAGGCUUAACCUACUACACCACAGCACUGGCCCUACCACUAUUCUUACAGAGUAUCUACUAGAGGAUAAUUUGCUUUAUUGGAUGUUUGUUGAUUUCCUUGUGAAUUUUCUUUGAGUGAAUACAUGGAACUAUUUUUAAGUUUUUGGAGUACAAGUAACUUAGAAUGGGUAUCUUUCAUGAAGUGAAAAUGCAUUUGUAACCAUGAAGGAAACUGAGGAAAUUGCCAUGGAACAAUUCCCACAUGCAUAACACUGGUAGCCCAAAUAGUUCCAUGGUUAUUUAAGAUUUAAUGAAUUGUUUAAAUAGUUCAGUUUAGAGCAAGUUUCCUAAUUCAUUUUUACAAAGUGAACACAAAAUAGAUACUAAAAUUUGGCAAAAUGUGCAUAUAUACCUAUGGGUCAUAUCAAGAUAAGUAUUUUGUUGUAGUAUAAUAAGAGGGAAUAUUUAUUAUCUCUUCCCUGUGCCAGGACCUCUAUGUGAUAUGUGUUUUCUUUUUCAUAUUCACAAUAAUUUUGUUGAUAACUGUUAAUACAAUAACUCAUUAUCUCCACUUUACAAAUAAGGAAAACCCUUAUAGUGAGGAAUCUCAGAGAGAGGUUAUAUGAAAGAGUCGUUGUUGCCUGGAAAGGAAUGAGUAUAAAGUGACAACACCUGCAUGGACUUGGAUCUGACUCAAGGGACACCAAAUUCUUUACAUUUAUUCUAGGAUGUAAGAGAUAAAAGCAACCACACAUGAAAAAGAGAAUCUGGAAAAAUAUUAAGUAAAUUAUUUUUAUAGUAAUUUAUACCUAGAAUAAAUAGGAUUAUUACUUUUUCACAAAUACAUUUAUGUAUUAAAUUUUUAAAAACUAGGUUCACAUACUGUAUUUUUAAUUGAUGUUUUUAAGGUAGACUAACAUAUUAGGUAGUGUGUACUACAAACUAGGUAAACUUUUCUGUCUGGUUGUUAAAAUUGCUUUUUAUUUUCUUUUAAAGUUAAGAAUAAAGAGCUUGAGCUAAUCAACAGAAAUAUUCUCAUGUGCAGAUAAUGAAGCUGUGUUAGUGGCAAAUUUCUCCAAGUAUUCAGAGAAUUUGGCUGUGAAAAAUGCUUCACAGAAAACUUUGUGCUGGACCUUGGAGAUCUAUUGCACAAUCCAGCUUAUUUUAUAUAAAACUUCUGUUAAGAAAAGAGGCACGGAUGGGUGCCUCUUCACACAGAGCACCAAAAAUGUUAGGAAGAGAGGUGCAGAAUAGAGAGGAGGCAGUAUACGAAUCUGGAGUCAGACCAGAUUUAUUCAGAGAAUAAUUGUUAGAGGUGGUUCACCAGCUGCCAGUGUGCACAUUGAUGGAACACGUUGCAGAAGGCCCUGACCCUAGGGGCCCGGCCUUUUUAUAUUUUAGGAGGGCUAGGGAUGGGGGUAGGGGUAGGAGGCAGCAGCAGAGGCCGAUUCCUAGAACUGGUCUUUCAGGUGGACCUGUGGGGCCUUGGGAACCUGGGAAAGAAUGCAGGGGUGUAAAGGCAAUAGAGUGUGAGGCCCAAUUGAGAUUCAAGGGCAAGGAAUAAAUUCCAGUGUUUAUCUAUCUUUUGGGCAAUGAUUGAGAAUGGCUAAGGCUUAUGUCUUUGUUCUAUCAGCUUCAAUUCCUGAAAUCAUUUAAAAUGUGCUUUUGAAAUUGGUAACAGUGGUAGCCAUUGGGGAGGGGCACUAUAUGGAAAAGGAGCAGUAAUGCUUUACAUUCUUUUUUUAAAAAACUUUAUCCGAAAGUCAGAGUUACACAGAGAGAGGAGAGGCAGAGAGAGAGGUCUUCCAUCCCUUGGUUCACUCUCCAAAUUGCUGCAAUGGCCCGAGCUGCACCAUCCAAAGCCAGGAGCCCGGGGCUUCUUCUGGGUCUCCCACACGGGUGCAGGAGCCCAAGGACUUGGGCCAUCUUCUGCUGCUUUCCCAGGCCAUAGCAGAGAGCUUGAUCAGAAGUGGAGUAGCUGGGACUCGAACUGGCACCCAUAUGGGAUGCUGGCACUGCAGGCGGUGGCUUUAGCUGCUAUGCCACAGCGCUGGCCCCUACACUCUUGUAAUACAAAUAUAUUCCAAUACUAAUUUAUUUCCAAAAAUAAUUUAUAAAAAUGUACUUUGGAAACUUGUUUUAAAGAAUUUCAAUUUUCAUUUUGUUCACCAGUCACCCUGAUUUUGUGUGUGUGUGUGUGUUUGUAUCCAUCUAGAUAUACUGUGUCUAGAGAUUUACUAUAAUUUUAUCAUGAUUUACAUGAAAUAAUCAAGCAAUACCAUCCUAGUAUUUAUUUGGAUUCCCCUCCCCCAACUUCUCCCAUCUCUGUGGCAGAACAAUGAUUAGAACUGAAACUAAAGAAAAGUAAGGUGAAGUCAUUUUGAAGUUUUUUUUUCUAUCAGGUGGGCCUCUGCUUUUUAAACUUUUUAUUGAAGUACAGCAUAAAUACAAAAAUAUGCACAGGCUUUAAGUGUACACUUUGAUAAACAUUCAGAGUGAGCACAUUUAUAGAUCACCUUUUGUUUUUAUUUGAAGGAAGGGUUGCUGCUAAGUAUAGAUGAUUAGAUUUGUUCACCAAUCUAAUUGGGAGAGGGGGAGGGGAGGGGAAGGGAGAGGGAGAGGGGUCUUCCAUCCGCUGGUUCACUCCCCAAUUGGCCACCAAUUUGAAGCCAGGGGCCAGGAGCUUCCUCCCGGUCACCUAUGCCAGCACAGGGGCCCAAGGACUUGGGCCAUCUUCUAUUGCUUUCCCAGACCAUAGCAGAGAGCUGGAUCGGAAGUGUAGCAGCCUGGACUUGAACCUGCACCCAUAUGGGAUGCCAGCACUGCAGGUGGUGGCUUUACCCAUUAUACCACAGCGCCGCCUCUAAUAAAUAAAUAUUUUAAACCCCCCCCCAAAAAAAAACCUAAAA